UCCACCGCCAGCUUUGGGUUUUAAACGUUCUUACUUCCCGACGUCUGCCUGCAAUUUUACAAAGGUGUUGUUUGGAAAUACUGUGAAAAAUCCUGCAACCUACCAACAGGUUGAGCUCUUCCCCCUCCCGAGGUCUAGCUCGGCCCCCUCCCCCGACCCAACUUUCCUGCGCAGCUGUCUUCCUCCCCUCCCCCUCCUGAUUUCUUAUUAUUUGCUUUUCAAAUUUAUUACUUCAACAUGGCCUGUGAUCUGGAAAAGGGAAGGAUUAAAUAUCCAGAAAAGAGCUGGUGCCUAAUAGACUUCUGACUAAACCCAGAAGGAAAUUAUUCAGUGUUUUAUGAGAUAUUUUGUGGUCACACACACUCUCUCUCUUUUUUUAAUUGAAAUUGAAAUACUUUUAAAGACCCCAAGUUGACCCCACUUGGUCCAGUUUUAAUUUCUGUUGGUGUAAUUAAAUGGUGAAUUCUGAUUUAAGAAUAAAAACAAUAACAGCCGAAGUUUGCAUCUGUUAGAACUGCUGGUAAUGGAUAGAUAUACAGUACUUUUAAACACACGAUUUUUAAAAAAUUGUUCAUUAAGGGGAAAUGAAAGUGAGCCGUUGUAAUGAUCUGUACAUUUCGUCACUGCUAUAUGAGCCAUACCUAAGAAAAUUAAUCUUGCCAUUUAAAAGUAAACUCUAGGGGGUUUGGGGAGGGAGAUGGCUCUAUUUAUAAUCCUCAGCUGCAUAUACAUCGUCUAAUAUUAUGCAUGAUUUGUUUUUUAAUGCUAACACGGCUGGUAAUUAGCUGUAUGAUUAUACUUGUAUAUUUCAUUAGGACUUUGGCUGAUGUCAUUGUGAAUUAUUCAGCCAUAUUAAAACAAUUUUCAAUUGAGAUAAUGACACGCCUCAAAAUUAUGCAAAUGCAGGCUGCAUUGUGCAAAAUAAUUAUGACAAAUGUAAAGCAGGUAGAAAGUUUCCCAAUGCAGAUCGGUUUUCCACCCUGGUGAUGUCAUUUCCCCCCUGGCCUAAGUUAGUCAUUCAUUAGCUGAAUAGCAGCAGCCGUCUCCUCUGGAGGAGAGCCUACAGAAACCAGCAUUUACUGCAGGCACCUAGAGGGGGCAACAGGGUCUUCUCAUUAAGAAAUUUGCUUUGUUUUCACUUACUCCAUUAACUUGUUUAUAUACAGUGAGAUGAUUUUUGUUAUUGAUUUUAAAUAGUGUUGAAUGAUGCAUUUGCCAUUUGUAAAGUGUGACCGAACGAGAAAGGUUUCUUGGUGAUGUGCACGGUUACUUGGAGAAAAUGUUCAGCACAUUUAAUCAGCCAGUACAGUUUAUUUUAAGUAACCAAAUGGAGGUUAAUAAUUUCUUGAUUGCGCUGACAUCAGCAUCCAUUUCAAAAGGACAGCCAGGACUCAGUAUGCUUUUUUGGUUUAAGAGAACCAUUCUGUCUAUUUAUGAUUUCUUGAAAUGUAAAGACGUCAGUUCUAAAAGCAGGAAAAUUAUCAUUGUGCGAGAUUAGAAAUAGCGUCCCUGUGUGGUUUGCUGUGAUCUGCAGAGGGCCUUUUUGGGGAAUAUUUUAUUGAUCCUUGCAAUAACUGGAAGAGGCUGGAUAAGGCAGGACUUUGUAUGCCAUUUUACAGAUGGAGACAGAGGCUUAGGGAGAUUAUGUGGUUUGUCAAAGGUCACCAGAGUAGGACCUAGGUCUUCCUAAAUUUUAGGGUUGGUUUAUCUUCCCACUGAAUCCCACCCCGCUUAAUGCAUCAUAUUAUAUUCUAGAAGUAUGUACUACUGUGGGCAGGUGCUUGUUCAUCUUAGAAUCAUGACUAGUCAAUCAGUUUUGCCAAAGGUCCCUAGAUUUUAGGUAGAAGAACCAUUCUUAUUUUAUAAAGUUCAGCUAAUUCUAGCUAGUGGUAGCUAACAAGAAUAGUUGCAUUUUAGUACCAUGAUUCAUCACCAUUGACAAUUUAUUGUUAGUUGUACUGAUUAUGAUAAUGACUUGCAUACUUACAUGUACUGCUGCCUUCCCAUACUUCCAGAGCUGGCCUCUGGUGUUGAGGAAGAGCAGUCCAGAGUCAUGUCUUUUUUUUUUUUUUUUUAAUGUUUAUUUAUUUUUGAGAGAAAGAGCAUGAGUGGGGGAGGAGCAGAGAGAGAGGGAGACAAAGAAUCCGAAGCAGGCUCCAGGCUCUCAGCCGCCAGCACAGAGCCCAACAAGGGGCUCGAACCCACAAACCGUGAGAUCGUGACCUGAGCCGAAGUCGGAUGCUUAACCGACUGAGCCACCUGGGCACCCCAGAGUUGUGUCUUGAUUCUGCAGCUUAUUAUUUGUUUGACCUUGAACCGUCAUAAACACUCUGAGCCUUAGUUUCUUUAGCAGUGAAAUGGGAACAAUAAUAAGGCUGACUGUCUAUGGCUUGUUGUGAAUAUGUGUGGACAAAAGUACUUCAUUAACUGUGUAGUCCUUACAUAAAUAGAAAAGAGUAAUGAUUAUGGUGGACUUUAUGCUAGAUAUUCUUAAUUUAUAAAUGAUAAGCAGAAUAACUUUUAUGUCUGUGUGGAGGUUCCCAGGCCUAAUCAUGAUACUGUCUUAAAUUACCAUGAAAGUGAAUAGCAGGGCCAUAUACAAGGAGUUAAGUGUCUUUAGUAAUUACCCACAAUUGCCAUUCAGCCAGUAUCUCUUCAGAGGAGGAAAAUGGCAAAGUAGGCGGGUAAUUGGUUCUGUUACUGGGUAACUUCUGAUUACAUUCAUUUUCAAAGUGCCAAGCGCUUAAUCUAUUGGCAAUAUACCCCCUUAAAAUAGGUGGAUGUGCAAGCUUGUAUUCCAGCCUGACCAUGGGCUAGAUUCUACAAGAAGCUUUACUGGUCACCUGCAACUGUGAGUGUGGAUGAGUAAGCCAAUUCUGUCAGGAAGUCAGGAUCUAGCACAUCUGGGCAUUACAGAGGCUAGCAUGUAGUCAGGAUUUCUAAAAGUGCUUACCUCAUUAAAACUUGUCAAAAUUUCAUAUUCCAAAAUGCCUGUUGAAAUUAACUCAAUUAGAAUCUCUGGAAUUGGGGUCAAGGAUCCUGCAUUUUGAACAGUCUUGCUAAAUUUAGCUGUGUGAUCUUGGGCAAGUUUUAAACUCUCUGUUCCUCAAUUUUGUCAUCUAUAAAAUGGAAACAUAGUGCCUAUUUCUGAGGAUUAUUUUAGAGAUUAAAUGAGUUAAUACAUAUAAAGUGUUUACAGUUGGCACAUGGAAUCUUCAGUAAUGGGUGACUCAUUAUUAUUAUCAUUAACAUUCGUAUUACUGUUCUCCUUGAAGUUUGAGACGACUACCAUAGACCUUCCUAAAGAAAGGUUUUCUCUCUGAGAAGACAGCACGUAGGUUAGUUUGCUAGUACAGAUAGCCAAUACAGGUCUCCCCAAAUCAGGUUGGCUUUCAUCCAUGUGAUGGGUUUAGCUAUGUCACCAAGAUAAAAAGCUCCUUGAAGAUUUACAUGUUAGUAUUGAGGUAUGCUGUCUGUCAUCUGGAUCAGCAGGAUUUGUUUCAAAGAUUGCCUGAUUGUAUCAUAUCUCAGGUUGGUCAGACACAUUCUGAAGUCCAGGAGGGGCUGGUUGGCUACUCAGUCUCAGGUCUGUACCCAUGAGCUGGCUUUUAAAAAUUUCUGACACCUCUUCAGUGACCUCACUGGCCUUGGACAAUUUCUUUAACUUUUCCGAGCCUUAGUUUCUCCAUCUGUAAAAUGGACUUAAUGAUCUCUACUUUGCCAAGAGAAUUAGAAAUAAUAAUGAGAAAGGCCUGCUAACUAACAUAGUACUUAAUACACAAGAGCUCAGCAAAGGAUAGAUGCAGUUAUAUUAGUUAUUAUUAUUUUUAGAAAUGAUUGUAAACUAUGAGAAGGAGUAACUUAACUGGCUGGCCCUUUAGAACUAGGGUGAGAACUAAUGAAUUAUAUGGAGAGAAUUUAUUGGACUGUGACAAGUAUCAGCGAACUAAGGCUGGAGGGCCAAGUCUGAACCACUGUCUGUUUUUGUAAAUAAAGUUUUAUUGGAACAUAGUCAAACUCAUUUGUUUACGCAUUGUUUAUAGCUGCUCUCAGGUUCCAGUGGCAGAGUCGAGUAAUUGUGACAGUGACCAUAUGGCCCGCACAGUGGAAAUUAUUUACUAUUUGGCCCUUUACAAAAAUGUCUGCUGACCCCUGGCCUGUGGAGUUGAUCUGAAAUAGGGAAUGUGAUUGUGUACUUUUUUCUCCUUCUUACUUGGGUUGGAGCAAGAUCCAGUAAAUAUUAAGAAAUAAUUUAACAUUAAUAUGUCAAAAAUAUUUACAUAAACAAAUCUCUGUUUUAGCAUUGAGUCUAAUGAUGUUAAAAGUUGAGAAUCAGUAGAAUGUAUACUGAGUUAUAUUUCGUAUGGUUAAGAUCCUAACUCCAGCAAAUGUUGGUAUCAUCGGUCUUGAGUUAAUCAAAAACUACUUGUUGAAUGCUGACCAUGUACUUAGAGCUCUGCAAGGUGCAGAGAUGGUUGCAAACAGUUCGUGGUGUGACCCUGUUUCUCAAGAAGCUUAUCAAUCUUGGUAGAGAGAUGAGAUCAACACGUUUUUAAAAAGGUAAAAACAGCAAAAGACGUUCUAUAACCCGGAGAAUUGUGUUGACAGUAAAUGCAACAUGUGGUCAAGGGAAGGCUCGCUAUCUGCAUGAUUUUGGAACAAGAAUUUAUUCAGUUCCUCAGAUGCUGAUUGAAAGUUUACUAUGUGCUGAACAACGGGAUACAGAGAUGAAGGAGAAUGGCCUCAGCCCUGAAAGAGCUCAUACAUAGUUUACCCUCUUGGACAGACAUGGGUCACAGAAAAGCUGUGAGACUCUUUCUGUGCUUCUUAGUUAAAGUGGAGAUUAACUAAAGUCACUAUUUAUAGCCUUUCAUGAUCUUUCUGGAAACUAGAAAGUAUUGUCUUUAUCUUCGAAGUCUCAUUCACUCAGUGCUUAUUUAUAGAGCACCUACUUUGUGCCAGAGCCUGUUCUAGGCCCUGGGGAUACAGCCGUGAACAAGAUAGGCGAGAAUCCCUGCCCUCAGGGUUCUUACGGGGCCUUGGUAGGUUGGAGCCUCCCCUGUACUUUGCACGUGUAUGUUCUGUGAUGCUUAUCUGUGUUCUUUCCCUUUGCCUCUCACUCCCGCCCCCCUCCCCACCCCAGGGUGGUUCUCAGGAACUGAGGGUUGGGCCUUACUCACCUCUGGGUCCCCACACCUUAUUCAGCGCUAUUCACUAAGUAUUUAUUGAAUAACUGAAUGAUAUAAGUCAUUUAAAAUGUCCUUUCCCACCACCUGCUUUCUUUAAGCUUGGCCCAGCGUCUUCUGGCAGAGGACCCACUGUCGGCCAUUCACAUGUAGGCCAGCUGCAGCACCCCAUCUCACACUUUUUAUUUCUCUUCUAAAAUCCACGGUUGUCUUGCACCGAGGAUGUGAAACAGCGUACAGGAUUUUCUUGAGGCAUACUCACCAAAGAAAUCGGUGCCUAUUUGGGACUGGAUGAUGAGGCUAAGAGCCAGCAUCUCUAUCCAUUUGAAUACUUUUCCAACCUUCGGCCCUCAGCCCAUAAAAAGUCAGGGCUGUGGGGCGGCACUCUGAGCAAAGAGUGGACUUGAGGGGAACAGUCCCUCCUCACCUGAGUGUGGUUGCAGCUACUUCCAGCCAGCAUGUUUUUCAGACUGAUGGUCUUAACUAGGCCAGUGUUUGAUGGUGACUCAAAAUUGUAAGCAAUUAAAACCUCCCUUGACAUUUAGAGUGUCAGGCACAUACUAAGGAAAUGUUAUUUUUAUGAAGUACACGAGUCCAUACAUGUAAAUACUUGGUUAUUAAUUAUGAAUCAAGCAUACCAUUGUUCGUAGCGGCAUCUAGUGAUACAUGAUGCAAGCCCAUUUAUCAAAGUCUGGUUUUAACCGAUAUCCAGAAUAUAAUUGCUCAAAUCAAAUGUAUUUGCGUGUCAUUUAUUAUAGCCAGGGUAGUUGGAUGUUUGCCAUCUUCCACUCAGAAUAAUAUUGUAGCCUGUGAUUACCCUUUGGUUUGGCUUUUAAAGAAAUUUCAAACAAAUUUAUCGGUUGUUGGAUGAAGGAUUCAUUGGCUUCUCAGAGAGGUGGUUGUGGGUUUCCUGCAUUUCUCGAAAAAUUUGCUCCCAUGCCCUUGCACAGGCACGGAUGGCUUUUUCCAGCCACACCGUGAUCUUUGCCGGCCCGCUGGAGAUUAGAACCCGGACCUUGGCCUUCAGAAGCACGGAUCACAUCCUGGCCUGUGAGCAUCCGUAUCCACAACACAUUUCAAGCAUGCAGAUGAUGAUUAUUACUGAAAGGGUGCUUUAGAAUCAUGCUAAUGGCAUCAAUCUGUAGCACACAUGCCUAAAUUAAUUCUGCUUUUAAAAUCAGAUGCACUGUUAGCAGCGUCAAAGAUGGAUAUUUGACAUUUAUCACACAGACGAGGACGUGUGGUUUAAUUACAUGAAUUUUCUAUAGAAUCUCUGUGGCUGUAUAAAUAGAUGCACGGUAGUGUAUGUCCUUACCCACGUGACCAUCAAGUUCACAGCCCUGUCUCCAUUCUUGGCCCACGGGGUGAGGAAAAUGGAGGAGAGGCCAUGUGUUACUAGUCAAGCUAGUGGCCCCACGGACAUCUUUCCCCCCACCUUACCUUUCCUUUUUCGUGACUCGGAGCACACCCAGGCUGUGGAACACCCCCCCUCCUCCCCAGCAUUGAGUUCCAAGCCUGAUCAGUGGCACUAAACAUUAAACUCUUGUCUUUGAGAAUAAUAGGCUUUGCUUUCUACACCCUCAAGCAUGUUGAGCUACUGUGCAGGCUGGAAAAUAAAAAUGUUCUAAUUGUGUCUUUUAAAUAAGCAUAGGAGUGAAUUAAUUAGACCAUAUUUUGUCUUUAGUUGCUUAGUUACACAAUAGUAUUCCUGAGCACGAGAAGAUAAAUUGGUUCUUUUUGUGCUGCCUGUCCCUUAAUCAUAAUUACUGUAUUGCUUAGGAGAGUAAAGCAUACAUAGAUUUUGAAUUUUUUAUUAAUAGUCAAAAAUAUGCAUAUGAUAUAUAAAGUAUAUGCUGUUCAACCUGUUUUAUAUGCUUUUAUGUGGGAAGAAGUUUUAUUGUGGUGGUAACAUUUGCAUUAGUUGCUCAAAGAUGUAGUUCUGGGAAAUACAUAAUUGAAAUGUUUUUGAAUUGCUUUUUCUGGCCUUUUCAAUCUUAUUCAAAAUAAUAGUGCCUCCAGUCUUGGAGCAGUCAUUCUCAUUUGAUUUAACAUCUUUCUUUGCACUGCAUGUGUGGUGCCCAGCUUUAACCCUGCAGAGCCUACACGAGGCUGUGAUUCAUAGGCUUCAGAUGUCGCCCUUACGUUUUGGGGCUCACGCUGUCAGGGGUCGGAGGCAGCGGGGCUGUGGAGCACCCGCAUCCUGCCGCCAUGAAAUGCCCCUUGCUCUUGGCACACCUCCACGUUCCUUGCAGCAGGCCCCAGGGUUAGAGAUCGUAGGUGUGUGUUGUAGCUUGGGCUGGGCAACGCUCUGUGCUUGCCUUCUGGGGUCUUGGAAAAUGGGAUGUUGCUACUGGAACUUGGGUGUCUGGCCCCCUACCCCCACCCGCCACCAGGGAGGCAGCAGGAGUUGGACAGCUUGAUAUAGUUAUUGAACAAUGGGAGAGUCUGGCUUAAGACCCAAGAUGCAUGCUGGGUAAAUGUAUGUGAAAAUUGACCCCAUUGUUCUGCUGUAUUUGAAAAGCAAGUAAAUUAUUUACAGAUAUUUGCUAAUUAAAGCCCAUGUUGUUUUACCAGCACAAAAGAACACAGUAUAACUGGAGACAAAGAACUAAGUGCAAAUAAUUUAAAUUUGCUAAUUCUGUGUAUUCUUCUUAAGGGAGGAAUAUGUUUUAAAAAUAUGUACAUGUACAUAUACAUACUCAUUGAAGUGUGUAUGUACAUACGGAUAUGGAUGUGUGGUUUUUGUUUUGUUUUUACCCCCACAUGGGAAGUCUUCCAUGCUACAGAGAUAACAGGCCAAGUUAUCACCAGUUCCUUGUCCCUGGGCCUGCCCCAAGCCCCCUGUGGAACAUGGAGUUGGAAAUCAUUUUGACAGAAUGCUGUUUUCCCUUUAGUCCAAGCUUUGCUCACCAUCAUCUGGUUCGAGCUCAGCUUAGAGUACCACUGGACAAAAACAAACUAUCCAGAUAGUAUGCCAGCGAAUAAAAAUGUUCUUCCUCAUUGCCUUCUUCUCUGACUUUCCCCAACAACAGACCCAGGUGACUUUCCCCAACAACAGACUCCGGUUUAGAUGUUUUUCCUCCAUGACCACCCAGCUUUGGGGACAUUCUGGUUGGAAAUUUGCAUUGUAGAAUGAAGACCUCUGACAUGGGGUGAAGGGUUCAGAGGUGGAGAAGGUUGCUAAGAACAUUCUCAGAUUCUCAAGAGUCCUUCUGGCUGGAACGUUGGCAGAUCCAUAGGUGCGGCUGGUCUCUCUGGAUCUGCCAUCUGCACAGACAUGUUUGGUUUUAGGCGUGACUGGCUGGACGUCCCUUGUCUUUGUUGAUAAAGAGGAUCAGGAAGACUUUCCAUGGUCAUCUAAGAAAAAGGCUCAUGUCUGAUUUGUCAUGGACAUCUUAUCGACUUGCAGAACGUUCAAGAGAGCAAGUCUAGCCCCCUUUAUUCAAUGGACACAGAAAGGCCCAGGAAAAUCUUGGCCACAUGCUCAGAGUUCGUGAGUGACAAGCAGAACUAGAAGCCUGCGCCCUCAGGCACAGCAGGUCUCCUGCUUUGAGGAAGGACUGCUCUCUUAAGGUUGUACUCUGAGGAAAGUAGGCAAGAGUUUCCCAUGGGUGUAUUCAGGGCAGGUCAUUCGAGCGGCCUGUCUUAUACCAGGAGAUGAUGCCUCUGUGGUAUAUCACUCAUAAAAUCACUAAUGACUAAAGUAUGGACUUUAACGCCAAGAUACUUACCCAAGAGUCAGUGAUGACACAGAAACUAGGCUGGAUAUUCACACUGCCCUCUAGACCUUACCUUCAUUUCCUCAUUCUUUCCUGAAUUUAGGAGGGCCCUCUGAUGGUAACAUUUAUACUGGCUUAAGAAAAGCUUUGCCAAGAUGGCACUCUUGGUGAUAAAUGGAAUUGGCAUUCCUGCUACAUCUGAUAUUCAUGGAUGGUUUCUUUCAUUCAGAAAUGUUUAUUGCAUGCCUACUAUGUGUCGUGUCUCUACAAUGGGGAUAUGAGAGUUGACUAAUACACAGAUAUAGAUUUCUGUUCUCAUAGACCUUACUCAUUCUCUCAUAGUAAGGAGGGGAAAACAACCUGAGUUUUCCAAAAUGGAGGAAACCCAUCUCCAUCAUCUUAGAACCCUAUUCAUACAUUUUCUCAUAAAGGUUUCUCUUCUGCACAUUCCAGAGAAAUAGAUUUCUGUUCUCAUAGAGUUUACUCAUUCUUUCAUAGUAAGGAGGGAAAAGCAACUUGAUUGAGGUUUCCGAAAUGGAGGAAACCCAUCUCCAUCAUCUUAAAACUCUAUUCAUACAUUUUCUCCUAAAUAUUUCUCUUCUGCACAUUCCAGAGAAAAUGCCCCAACUUACUGUUUUUCAAAACCAUCUGCAAAAAUUUUACCCAUGGUGUUUUCAAUGAAGUUACAUUUUCUGUUUAUCAACUAGCUAUUAGUGUCAGGCAUUGCAUAUAUCUUGGUAUGUAAAUUAAAUGCUCAUUUAAUUCUCAAAGAAAUUCUCUAAGGUUGGUUGUAUUGUAGCAUUUCAUACUUUAUAGAUGAGGCAACUGAGGCCAGGGAGGUUAAGUGACUUGCCUAGGGUCACAUACAGUUAAGACUCAGAGCCAGGAUUGAAACCUGGAUGUCCUCGAUUCUACCAGGACUCUGACCUUCGUGUCCCCUAUCACUUUAGAAUAUAUUGAGGGACUAAUAUUGGGACUUUCAUCAUAUACUGACCUAUUCUCCAAUUAGGCCUUCAUGAACAUUGUUUAUUUUAGUCCUUCAUUUAUUUGUUCAGUAUAAAACUCUUGAAAGUUUCUAUCCUGCUCUCUAGGAACGUGCAAAUUGGCAGUUGACUGAUACACAGAUGACUCAUAAUAAUACUGUGCACUCGAGGAAUAAAAUGUUUAAAAGGGCUCCUUAAAUCCCAUGCCCCCCAAGGCAGGCAUGUGGUGCCUCUUGCACAUUUCACAGGAGAGGAGACUCAGGCUCCGUCCCUCCAGAGUGCCUUCUGCGUGCAGGCCAGCACAGGUCCUGGCGGGACAGAGGUGGGAAAGAAACCAGGCAGAUCCUGCCUUCGCGGAGCUUCCUGUCAGGUGGGGAGUACGUAAUCAAUCAAAUAAUCACAAGUCAUGGGUGAUUGUGUGGCAAGGUCAGUGUGAUGAAGUGAAAAUAUAUGGACCUGUGACAGGGGUGCUGAUCUCGUUGGGAAGCUGUAUGAAGGCAUUUUGGAAAAAAUAACAUUUGAACUCAGGUCUAGAGAGAUUCUGAUGAAGAUUGGGAAGAGGUUUCUUGCCACGAUGUGUAGAGUCCCUGCAGGAUGAUUUCUGGGCUGAGCCUAAUCUUGGUGAAUCCAGUAAACAGAUUAGAGAUGGCCACUGAUGCCCACUGGAGGCACCUAUUUUUCUAUUCUAGAUAUCAGUGAGACACCUACCUAGCAUCUUCAGAGCUGAUUUACACUGGCUGGCUGUGGGGGUAUCGAAAACAGGGGUCAACAAACUAAGGUCAAUCUGGUCAGCUCCCUGUUUUGUGAAUAAAGUUUUAUUGGCACACAGCCACACCCAGUUGUUUGCAAAUCGUCUCUGGCAGCUUUCAUAUUGUAGUGACAGAAUUCAGCAGUUGUGAUAGAGACCAUGUGAUGCACAGAGCCGAACAUACUUACUCUCUGGCCCUUUUGCAGAAAAUGUUUGCCUGACCCCUGAGAGGGAGACAGAGGAUCUGAAGCAGGUUCUGUGCUGACAGCAGCGAACCCAAUAUAGGGCUCGAACUCACGACCGCGAGAUGAUGACCUGAGCCUAAGUCAGAGGCUCAACUGACAGGGCCACUCGAGUGCCCCUAAAAUGAUAUUAGUAAAGGUAAUAGUAAACUGUAUGGUUAUGGUUUCAUAUGUGACCUUUUAUUUACUUCUUACGAUGAUAAUGCUAUGAGGUAGAAUGUAAUGUCAUCUCCAUUUUCCAGAAGGGCAAACUGAGAGGUUAGGUGACUUGUGGAGGUUUCUAAAUUCCUUCAUCAGGUAAGUUCCCAGAAUGGGAACUUGAGGUGUCUUGAUUCCAAAACACAGAUGGCAAAAACGGCAUGGCAUCCUGCUGACAAGUGGAGGAACUGUAUUAGAAACUAACUAGUAACACAGGCAGUCUUAGAAAAAGGGUGUAGAAUUCAUUGAGGCAUCCCCCAGUGCAGUAAAAGUCCAUCUUUCAAGGCCCUGUUCAAAAGCUACCUCCUCCAUGAUGUCUUCCACUGUGUAGAGGAGAAAGGGACCUAGAGCUCAUGCACCUGUGUAAGUGCCCACCAGGCCAGGCAGGUAAGAUGAGGUGGAAUGAGCCAGGUCUGGGAGAAAAUAUCGUGCUUGAGGGAAGCAGGGAGCACGUGGCUCCUUUGAAUCGUGCCUCUCUCAUCCUGCCGAUCACUGCUGGGCAGGAAUGUCAUUUCAUAUUGCCAGAUCUCUCCAUUUUUCAAGAGAAGUGUCAGAAAUCCAGAUUUUCAUGUAAGUUUAGUUGGCGG